AAGAAAAAGAAAAAUAAGAGAGAAGCAAUCUAUUUUGUACCCAGAGAAUUUUACAUGCAGGGAAUUUGACGACGAAUGAGCCUCCUUUGCCUAAGAGAGACUUCACUAUUUGGAAUUUUGAGAAGAAGAAAAUACACAAACAAGCAAACGUCAUCAGCAGAGGGUUGGGAAACCUGUGUUUAUAAUACCCAGCGAUUAAUUUAAUAUUGCCUUAAGUCAUAGUUAAAAGGGACUUAGUUUAAAAGUCAUUUUGAUUGCUGGCUGACUCAGAGUCCUCAACAUUUCACCUUUUGCUUUAUGAAAAGAACUAGUAGAUUAACUUAAAGUUUGACAAGAAUUUCUCCUAACAUGGUACCAUCAGAGUACAGUCAGAAAGCGGAGUCAACUCAGAUUUCUCACCAUUGAGUCAAGUUGGGAGUAGAGGAUUUUCAUAUGGAAGGAUUGUUUGAGUUGCAAAACAUAACUAUGGCCUACACAUGUACACUCUCUGUGAACUGCACAGCUGGACAGAAGGAAGCUCCGAUGUGGCCCUGAUGCUCCCUGCUGCCCACAUCAAACUUGCAGGAAAAGAGUCUGGCCCUGGCUUUCCGGAGGGGAGGAAGAAGUCAGUUGCCAGGAGAAGGCUGCGGGCCUGGCCUCCUCAGCAGCAACUUGGCACCAAAUCCCUCAUGAAACUGUUAGAUGGCAUUGGUCGGCAGCACUGUGUAAAUAGGCUGUUGUGGAUUGGCCUGGGGACUUAGCCGCUGUAUAUAAAUGUUAUUCAAGUGACUGUACAGCAUUGUUUCCAUGAAGAAAAGCCCUCGGAGCUCAGAGCAUCUGACCAAACGUGACCUUUGGGAAAGUCCUCUUGGUGUUCUGGGGGCGACCUCUGUGGGUUUGGCUCCAGCUGCAGAGAGAGCGCCAGAGA
rnacentral:lncRNA from 1 species